rnacentral:rRNA from 1 species
UGCCUAAUACAUGCAAGUCGAGCGAAUGAUGAGGAGCUUGCUCCUCUGAUUUAGCGGCGGACGGGUGAGUAACACGUGGGUAAUCUGCCUGUAAGACGGGGAUAACUCCGGGAAACCGGGGCUAAUACCGGAUAAUAAGAGAAGAAGCAUUUCUUCUUUUUGAAAGUCGGUUUCGGCUGACACUUACAGAUGAGCCCGCGGCGCAUUAGCUAGUUGGUGAGGUAACGGCUCACCAAGGCGACGAUGCGUAGCCGACCUGAGAGGGUGAUCGGCCACACUGGGACUGAGACACGGCCCAGACUCCUACGGGAGGCAGCAGUAGGGAAUCUUCGGCAAUGGGCGAAAGCCUGACCGAGCAACGCCGCGUGAGCGAUGAAGGCCUUCGGGUCGUAAAGCUCUGUUGUUAGAGAAGAACAAGUACGAGAGUAACUGCUCGUACCUUGACGGUACCUAACCAGAAAGCCACGGCUAACUACGUGCCAGCACCGCGGUGAUACGUACGUGGCAAGCGUUAUCCGGAAAUAUUGGGGGGUAAAGCGCGCGGGAGGGGGGCCCUCUUAAGUCUGAUGUGAA